GAACAAUAAAGAAGAGACCAAGAAUGAAAAUAUAAAAAUGCAACAGAGAAAAAAAGCUAUAGACCCACUAAAACACCAAAAGGUCAUUGCAAGAUCAGAUGUUGAUGGCUUUUACUAUCAAGGUAACAUGUUAUACAAUGUAAAAAAAAAUUAUUUUGUUCACAAGGAAUUAAAAAAAUUGUUGUUUCGAUAAUUUGUCUUGGUAAAAAGUGAUAUCUAAUGCUGUAAUCUUACUAUAUAGUCAUGGAGCUGUGUGGGAUAACAUUAAGUGGUAUGAGUGAUUUCUGUGAACUUAAAAAGUGGAUGGGAUGGGAGAACAGAUUCCAUCAGAACAGUUUGCAUGGUUUCUGAUAAGGGAUUAACUUUCCCCCUCCAAGUCAUGAUGGUCUACAUCAAUGUACACAUUGAUUAAGAGGAGUGGGCUUGUGAGAUAGCGAGAAGUGAGCUGUUGAUAUGGUGAUAUCAAAAGGCUAUCCACUGACCAGAUUUCUCAUGGUUCUUAUACCCAUGGGUCUUACAACAAUAAGAUGACUAUGCGGGGCUGGAUAUCAGCUAUAUGACCAUAUGGGCAAGUGACGUCGUUGCUGUGUACUCAUUCUUCACAGAUAGCUGAGUGUGUGCCGGAUAAGUGAUAUUUACAAAGAGUCAUAUCACAUAACCAUACAAAAUUAGCAUCAACUGAAUAAAAAGCUCAUCUUCCACUUACAUUGUUAGAUUUCUAAAUCUUUUUACAUAGAACCCAACUUAGUUUAGCAAUCUGUGAUUACUUAAAACUAUAGAACACAUCAGUGCAACAAUAUCAGAAUAUAUUUGAACAUAAUACAAUGUCACUGAAUUUAUCUCCAGCUUGUACGUAUGAAUGUAAGCAAAAAAGCAAAAAAUAAUUCCAUACACUAUACAUUUAUCUAAAAUAUAUUAUUUCUAGUUUUACAAUGAAUAUGUCCUUUAUUUUUUCUUUGUGUAUUGAAUUUGCCAUUCCUUGUAGGUACUGUCAUAAAGACCAUCCACUCAAAGCAUGCUGAAGUAGAUUUCUGCCAAGGGGAAAAUCAGAUUAUUCCCAUUAAAUUUAUAAUACCAACUGGAGGAUCUGUGCCCUGCCCGCCUCUAAAGGUUAAACAAUUAUUUUAUUAUUAUGACAAUUUUUAAAAUGAUUCAUGUAUUUGGUUGGCCUUGGCAAAUGUCAGACAAAAUUAAUUGUAGAAAAGGAAGAAAUAUUGAAUUGCUACAUAAGAAGUUUAUAUUCCUUUUUUUCUAAAUAAGCUGUAAAUCCUUUUAUUGUUCAAUGGAAUCUAUAUUUUUUAUUUUUUUAUUUUUAUUUUUUUUAAUCUUUAUUUUAUUUGUGCAUAGGUUUUAUAGACAGGCUGGCAAUGCCAUGACAUCUAUUGCUAGCCACAUAAACAUCGAAAAAACUAUGGUCUGGCAUUUAAGGUCAUAGCACAUUUUUUUUAAGAAAAGAUAAUUUGUUUAUGUCUUAGAACUGCAAAGUAUGAUUUCAAGUAUAAAGAGAAAUACUUAAGGCAAUGUGGCAUGUGAGAUAGUAAACAGAAAGCUAGUACAGAUAAGAAGAACACAUGCCAUUGUUGCUAAAGAUCCCUGAGCCCAACCAGAUUUUUAGCUAGUCAGAUGAGCAUAUUAAAAAUAAAGCAAAGCAAAAAAGGCAAAGUAACAGUGAGUUAGACAUGAAGCGGCACCCCUAAUCCCCACAUAGAAACCCCUCAGUCCCCUGCACCAGUAAGAUUCAGUCCCAUAACACUGACAGGCUGUGUCAGAUCGCUAUACUUCAAAGAGGUGCAGGACCACGGCGGUCGCAUCGGGUCAUCUUCCUGUGGUGAGUAGUGAGAAGUCAUCUUGAGUCACCGGUGUUUUCACUCCAAUUGUGUAGUGGCACAGCUGUAGGGCAUCAAGUACUCUCCAUCAUAGGGCUUCGGUGUCGAUUGAUAGUGCCUGGUUUGGGUCCCAAGAGCCGCAAGUGAUCCGGUUUUUCAUGGAUGCCCGCAGAAGGUGUCAAGAACCCCGAGGGAGGCUGCCUUCUUCAGAGAGUGCUCAAAGUUCAGAGCAGGCUCCGCCGCCAUCUUGCGAGGUGAGAGUGACCUCCGACCAUUUCUGGCGUGAGAAGGGCCCCAGGGUGGAUCGGGAUGACCCCCCCGGCCUCUCAAAUCAAAAGGGGGUGUAGAGUAACUGCCACCCGGCAGGACAGCAGAGUGGCGGCCGUCCACUCCACUCACCACCUGGGUAGGCCUUAGUUGCUGGGAGUUGUGCCAUGAAGGAGCAAUAGACUGAUUUGGGGUUUCAAAGUUGUGGCAGCACCCCUGGAUGGUAUGGGUUCUUACUCUGUAGCUCCAGAUGCCGGGUUGAACCCACUAAAUGGGUCGAAAAGCUGGGAUGUAGCAGGAGCUGUACAUGCGUUUAGCAGGCAUGGUGGCCCGCCCCCACCCCCUGAAUCUAUAUAUUUUUGCAUAUUUUCUUUUCCUUUUCUCUCUCUCUGUUGCACUAUCUCAACAAGUUCUCAUUGUGGCAUACUUCAGAUCUUCCCUAUCUAUAACUUGGUCAAUAUAAGUUAUCUUUCCCAUCUAUAUGUCAAUCAUUUGAAAUGAGACAUUUUUA